rnacentral:rRNA from 1 species
GGGGGGUCAAAAGCGCUCGAAAUCGUAGAGGGGGAAGCGGACCUGACCGACGAGACCUCGUCGUCGCUCGCGCUCGACCCACGCUUCGUCGCGGAGUUCCGGAGGGCUCGCCCCCCGGAGCCGCGGCGCGGCGGGGUCGGGAGGCGCUCGGCGGCGGGGCCGCUUGCGCGGGACCGGCGUCGCGCCGAACGAGAGGUCGCCUCGGCUCGCCCCGAAAGGACGCGCCGGGGGGCCGCCCGGAGGCGCGGCGUCGGCCCGAGGGAGAAGGAGAUCGCAUCGCGGGGCAACGGGUCGAACCCGAGGGGCCCGUCGCCGUUCCCGAGCCGCGAGGCUCGGGGCGGAGGCGGGCUCCCCGGCGAGGCUCGACCCCAGGUUUUCGAAUGGCGUAGGCGAGACGGUCCCGUCCGACCCGUCUCGUAACACGGACCAAGGAGUCUAAACGCGCGCGCGAGCGAGAGGGCGAGAGGCCCAUCCGCGCAACGAAAGCGAAUGGCGGGACGCUCU